GUAAAAUUUAAAAUGGCUGAAAGUUGAAAAAGGUAACCCUUCAAUAAUGUUGAGAGACAUUCUUCCUGUUUGCUCAAGCUGUCUGCUGUAGUAAUGUAUCUGUUUGCAGUUUAAAUUCAGUGUUUUAUGAAUUAGCAAUCAUUAUUGAUCACAUUUACUAUAUUUAAUUCUAUAUUUUGUUUUGUACAACCUA
rnacentral:lncRNA from 1 species